UAUGUUGUUGCAUUAUAUUAUGUGAUCUCUAAUAAUUAAUUGUGAAAUAAAAUUGAAUCAAAGAGUACGUGCCAAAAUACCGAAAGUCACUUACAAACAAUUAUUUCGCGAUGCUUGGUUGGAAAACAGUGACUUUAAAGACUGGCUCCGGAAAAUGCCAGCUGAUCCAGCCAAGGCAUUUUGUUGCUAUUGUAAAUGCUCAGUAGCAGCUAAGGUAUACGACAUACGGCAACAUGCGGUGUCCAAAAAACAUAUUUCGACAAUGGGCGCAAUCGGUCAAACACAAAAACUAAAUUUUCCUUCCAAAUGCUGGAAGACAGAGGAGCAGGAAGCUGCACUAUAUUUGUAUGUGGCUGAGCACACGGCAAUAUCACCUGUGGACCACUUGUCAAAAUUUAAAGCAUGUAGUGCAGCCGCACAAAUACAGCUUGGACGGACGAAGUGCACGCAGAUUAUAAACGAUGUGGUGGCAGUGCACUUCAUGGAAGACUUAUUGAUGGAUUUGAAUCAUCGAAAAAUAGUUUGCUUCUGGAUGAGGCAACCGACAUCAAUGUGACGAAAUUGAUUUACUCCAUUAAAAAUACCCAAAGUUUCCGAUACCAGAUGACUAUCAAUAGAACCUGCCGUAACUAGGAUUUCACAUCAGUGGUCGGAGCUCAAAUUGCACUUUGCCUUAGCUGCCAGUUCAGAAAAAUGCCACAAGGACAAAAUUUUGCAUGAUUUAUAUAACGAUGAAACUAAUUUGUUGUAUUUAUUGUUUUUGCGACCGAUUUUAAAUGAUAUGCAAAAACUCAACAAAUUGUUUCAAAGUGAACGGCCGGAAUCUUCUAAGUUUUUAAAUGAUGACAAGCAUUAAUUCACUAAAAGAAAAAAUCAUACCUCCGGAAAUAGACAUUGACAUCUUUAAAGAUGAUUUUACGCAUAUUACAGUACAAGAUUUGUAUUUAUGUUUAAUAUAAUAAAAACAUGAAAACUACUUUAAUUUGGUAGAUAA